GUGGCCAGCCGCCGCGGUAAUACGGAGGGUGCGAGCGUUAAUCGGAAUUACUGGGCGUAAAGCGCGCGUAGGCGGUUAGUUAAGCUGGAUGUGAAAGCCCCGGGCUCAACCUGGGAACUGCAUUCAAAACUGGCUGGCUAGAGUACGAGAGAGGGUAGUGGAAUUUCCUGUGUAGCGGUGAAAUGCGUAGAUAUAGGAAGGAACAUCAGUGGCGAAGGCGACUGCCUGGCUCGAUACUGACGCUGAGGUGCGAAAGCGUGGGGAGCAAACAGGAUUAGAUACCCGUGUAGUCCG
rnacentral:rRNA from 1 species